CUAUAUUGUUAUGAAAACUUAAGUUAUUAAAAGCUGCUCUCUUAUUUUGUCAAAACUCCCAAUUUAACCCUUAUAUUGUCAAGUGCUUUUCUUCAUAUCCUGUGCUUUCUCUAUAUAGGUAGGAUACAGUUCUCAGAGACUACUCAGAAACCACAGUGACUCCAAGUACAGUAUGUUUUAGGACUUUCAAAAAUCUCUACCGAGGCUAGAAUGAGAAUUAAAAGGAGAAUGCUUAUCCCAUCCCAUCCUAGCUAUACCUUUCCAAUCUACUGGAUGUCUUCCUGCUGAUGAGGAAGCCAAGCCUGAGAGAGUUUGGAUGACUUGCCCAGGACCACACAGUUACUUGAUGGCUGGAACAGAAUGUGAAGUCAAAUCUUCUUGAGUUCAAAAAACCAGUAAGCUGCCUCUCUAAAACUUAAAGCCACAGUUAAAAAAAUCAUAUUCUAUAAACCCUUCAUUCAACAAAUAUUUAUUAAUCUUCUAUUAUGUGUGAGUCACUCUUCUGAGACAAUGAGCAAGACACAGAUUUAAAAAUACAUUGUCCCUGACCUCACAAUCCAGUAGCAACCUUACAGCCAUUUUAGCUGAAAUAGAAUAGAAGGAAAUUGAGUUAGGAGCUCAUCUAUAAACUGUUAGGUAGGCAAAGUAAACAAAAAUCAUGGAAAUGUUGGUCAAGAACUGAAUAAUAAAAAGGAAGAGAAAAUGAAGAGCA
rnacentral:lncRNA from 1 species